rnacentral:rRNA from 1 species
AGCAGUGGGGAAUAUUGCACAAUGGGCGAAAGCCUGAUGCAGCGACGCCGCGUGAGGGAUGACGGCCUUCGGGUUGUAAACCUCUUUCAGCAGGGAAGAAGCGAAAGUGACGGUACCUGCAGAAGAAGCGCCGGCUAACUACGUGCCAGCAGCCGCGGUAAUACGUAGGGCGCAAGCGUUGUCCGGAAUUAUUGGGCGUAAAGAGCUCGUAGGCGGCUUGUCACGUCGGAUGUGAAAGCCCGGGGCUUAACCCCGGGUCUGCAUUCGAUACGGGCAGGCUAGAGUGUGGUAGGGGAGAUCGGAAUUCCUGGUGUAGCGGUGAAAUGCGCAGAUAUCAGGAGGAACACCGGUGGCGAAGGCGGAUCUCUGGGCCAUUACUGACGCUGAGGAGCGAAAGCGUGGGGAGCGAACAGGAUUAGAUACCCUGGUAGUCCACGCCGUAAACGUUGGGAACUAGGUGUUGGCGACAUUCCACGUCGUCGGUGCCGCAGCUAACGCAUUAAGU